GUGGCUCCCUUAAUCAACACAUAUACUACAACUGGAACAAUACAUAGAUUAGCAUGCUCCCUUGGCAAGAUGACACACAGAUUCAUGAAAUGUUCCUUUUUGUU